rnacentral:lncRNA from 1 species
GGUUAAUAGGGCUUAAUUAUUAGCGACGGUAAAUUUUUAUCACUAAUGCUGUUGCUAAUAAGGGUUAAUUAGAAGCAACGGUUAAAUUUUGUCUCUGAUGCCAUCGCUAAUAAUAAUUAACUAUUAAUGACGAUCAAGCCGUCGCUAAUAAUAAAAUUUUUAUCAUUAAUAAUUAUUUUAACAUAUUAUGAUGAAAAAAUUUUUCGUCAUAAUCAGUUGUCAGUAAAUGAUCUUAUUAGCGACAACUAUUUAGCCGUUGCUAAUAGUAUAAUUUCUUAUAGUAAAAAAGAUAUAUGAUGAUAUGCCAAUAAGUAAAAUUUUUUAUUCACUAUUGAUUUUAUGUAUCUCGUUAUCUAUUUCUCUCAUCAUAAUUUUAAAUUUAGUGAUUUUUUUUUUUACUUUAGAUUAACCAAGAUAAUGCCCCGAUCCAUGUCUUGUAAAUAGAAUUCUCAUAUGUAAACUCUUGAAGGUUGUGUCAAACAUAAGCUCCCAAGACUAUUCCAUACAUAAGCUUAUGAAAGUUAUCCUAUGCAUAAGCUUAUGGAGGAUAUCCCACAUAUAAAUUCAUGGAGGUUAUCCCACAUAUUAGCUCGUGGAGACUGUUCCACAUAACAAGAUUAGUUC